GACAGAGGGGGCAAGCGUUGCUCGGAAUUACUGGGCGUAAAGGGCGCGUAGGCGGGCUGGCAAGUCGGUCGUGAAAUCCCUCGGCUCAACUGAGGAUCGUCGAUCGAUACUGCCGUUCUUGAGGAUUGCAGAGGAGACUGGAAUUCCCGGUGUAGCGGUGAAAUGUGUAGAGAUCGGGAGGAACACCGGUGGCGAAGGCGCUCAUCUGGCCCAAUACUGACGCUGAGGCGCGAAAGCUAGGGGAGCAAACGGG
rnacentral:rRNA from 1 species